GCCGAAAUCGAGAGUGGGAUGCUCAACCGACUGAACCACCCAGGUACCUAAACAGUCAGCACUCCAUGGGGAACAGGAGGAGCUAGAAAAAUUGGGAAAGCGAGAAGAACAACAUGAGCAGAAUCUCACCAAGGAAAUAAAGCACCUGCUUUUGAUCACUAAGAACAGAAGAUAAAAUGCUCACAUUCGAGAAUGCAAUCAACUCACUAUGUUGCUGUGGUCGGAUGUUCUCAGAACACACGGACCCGACUACGGCAUGAUGCCCUAGGAAGUGGGCUCUGUAGUGCUUCAGGAUGAUGCGUCGGCCUAAGCAGACAAAUUUUCUUCAGACAGUGCUUAUGGGGCACACAUUUCCUGUGAGGAAGAAACUGAGGACCAGAAAGUUGCAUAACUUGUUCAAGGUCUCCCUUGAGAGAACAGAGGACUUGGGAGCUGAGCCAAGGAGCGUCUGGCCAGCAUGAGCUUAUUGUGUCUGGGACCAGCUGAGCUGAACGUGGGCUCCUUUGCGGCUUCUCCGUCGCUGGCCAGCAGGCUGGCCUUCUGUUUCUCCUCCGGAAACCUUGCACACUCCUUUGAUUCAUGGUGUUAAUGGAAAACCUGUAGCUGGUGGUCCGUACAUCUGCUGGAGAAACAUUUUUCACAGAACUCACCUCAUCUGGGGACCAUGUGUCCAGGAGAGUUACCGGUUUUUGGCAAAGGGCACAUCCAGACCCACGUGCCAGCGUUACCCUCUGGAACAUCUGGUUACCAACUAAUGACAGGCAGCCAGGUAUCCUUUCCUCCAGUCGUACAUGCAGUCUUUUCCUCACCUUUGCAACCUCAUUAUGGCUAAAGCAGACAUUUAUCACCCCUGGGAAGGAGAAGAUGUGCACGUGGUUUCCACAGUGUGGUGAACCAACUUGGACACGAUACCCUCAGAGGUCUGACUGCUGCACAGCACGUCAGGACCGUUGGCCCAGGACUCCGGAGGAGUCUGGUCGUCUGCCUGCCUAGAACCUAUUGCUUGACCUUGGAUAAGUCGCUUUCCCUGUCCAGGCAUUGUGUCCCUCCGCUCUAAGGCCAGCACGAUGGCUAGGAUAUGGGAGUUGAUCAAACCGUGUUUAUUGAAUCUGCAGAAAUAUACGAAGGCUUGGGAAGAGAAUGGCUCUACUGUUCCACGUCAGGUAGAGCUGGCUCAAAGCCUGGCCUGCAGGGCUGUUGCUGACGCUGCCCACAGGUCCAGACAACCACAGACUGUGGACAGUCACGACUCGUGUAAAUUGCCAUUGUCAGCCUGGCCUCUUGGGGUCAAGCUGCUGAAGUUCCAGUAGGCCUGCUGGUAAACCCCAGGUACUAUCUGUAGAGUCGAAUGGCCCUCUUAAGAUAAGAACAGAUGUUUUCUUUUCUUUAUUUAAAAAAAAAUGU